rnacentral:rRNA from 1 species
UCUGCGACGCAGCUAACGCACUAAGUGCCCCGCCUGGGGAGUACGAUCGCAAGACUAAAACUCAAAGGAAUCGACGGGGCCCCGCACAAGCAGCGGAGCAUGCGGCUUAAUUCGACGCAACGCGAAGAACCUUACCAAGGCUUGACAUAUACAGGAAUAUGGCAGAGAUGUCAUAGCCGCAAGGUCUGUAUACAGGUGGUGCAUGGUCGUCGUCAGCUCGUGUCGUGAGAUGUUGGGUUAAGUCCCGCAACGAGCGCAACCCUCGUUCUGUGUUGCCAGCAUUUAGUUGGGGACUCACAGGAGACUGCCGGGGUCAACUCGGAGGAAGGUGGGGAUGACGUCAAAUCAUCAUGCCCCUUAUGUCUUGGGCUGCACGCAUGCUACAAUGGCUGGUACAAAGGGCUGCAAUACUGCAAAGUGGAGCGAAUCCCAAAAAGCCAGUCUCAGUUCGGAUUGGGGUCUGCAACUCGACCCCAUGAAGUCGGAGUUGCUAGUAAUCGUAGAUCAGCAACGCUACGGUGAAUACGUUCCCGGGGCUUGUACACACCGCCCGUCACAUCACGAAAGUCGUAACACCCGAAGUCAGUGGCCCAACCGUAAGGG